AGCUUUUUGUGUUUUAAUUAAAAGUAUUUUCUGCUCAGUGUUUUUAAAUAGCUGCGGUACUUUGACCGUGCAAAGGUAGCAUAAUCAUUUGCUUCAUAAUUGGGGGCUAGUAUGAAUGGAAUUACGAAAAGUUUUCUUUCUUUUUUUUUUUUUAUGAAAUUAUAAUUAAUGUGAAGAUACAUUAAAAAAUUAAAAAGACAAGAAGACCCUUUUGAGCUUUAUUUUUAUUUAAAUUUUUUUUUAAAUUAUUAUUUAGUUGGGGCGAUUAAAGAAGAUUUAUUUUUUAUCUUCUUUUUUUUAUUUUGAACCAUAAUUUUUGGAUUUUAGAACUAGUUACCAAAGGGAUAACAGCGUAAUUUUUUUUAAGAGUUCUUAUUAAAAAAAAAG
rnacentral:rRNA from 1 species